AUUGAACGCUGGCGGCAUGCUUUACACAUGCAAGUCGAACGGAUCUAGGGGCUUGCUCCUAGGUUAGUGGCGAACGGGUGAGUAAUGCAUCGGAACGUACCGUGUAGUGGGGGAUAACCUGGCGAAAGUCAGAUUAAUACCGCAUACGAUCUACGGAUGAAAGCGGGGGACCUUCGGGCCUCGCGCUCUACGAGCGGCCGAUGUCGGAUUAGCUAGUUGGUGAGGUAAAGGCUCACCAAGGCGACGAUCCGUAGCGGGUCUGAGAGGAUGAUCCGCCACACUGGGACUGAGACACGGCCCAGACUCCUACGGGAGGCAGCAGUGGGGAAUUUUGGACAAUGGACGCAAGUCUGAUCCAGCCAUGCCGCGUGAGUGAAGAAGGCCUUCGGGUUGUAAAGCUCUUUUGUCAGGGAGCAAAUCCUGCCUGCUAAUACUAGGUGGGGAUGAGAGUACCUGAAGAAUAAGCACCGGCUAACUACGUGCCAGCAGCCGCGGUAACAC
rnacentral:rRNA from 1 species